GAUGAACGCUGGCGGCGCGCCUAACACAUGCAAGUCGAACGAUUAAAGCACCUUCGGGUGUGUAUAAAGUGGCGAACGGCUGAGUAACACGUGGGCAACCUGCCCCUUUCAUUGGGAUAGCCACGGGAAACCGUGGAUAAUACCGAAUACUUCGAGACUUCCGCAUGGAAGACUCGAGAAAGCUCCGGCGGAGAGGGAUGGGCCCGCGGCCUGUUAGCUUGUUGGUGGGGUAACGGCCUACCAAGGCAAUGAUGGGUAGCUGGGUUGAGAGACCGACCAGCCAGAUUGGGACUGAGACACGGCCCAGACUCCUACGGGAGGCAGCAGUGGGGAAGCUUGCACAAUGGGCGAAAGCCUGAUGCAGCGACGCCGCGUGCGGGAUGAAGGCCUUCGGGUUGUAAACCGCUUUCAGCAGGGACGAGGCGAAAGUGACGGUACCUGAAGAAGAAGCCCCGGCUAACUACGUG
rnacentral:rRNA from 1 species